rnacentral:rRNA from 1 species
GACGAACGCUGGCGGCGUGCUUAACACAUGCAAGUCGAACGGAAAGGCCCUGCUUUUGUGGGGUGCUCGAGUGGGAAAGGGGUGAGUAACAUGUGAGUACCCUCCCUUUGAUUUUGGGAUACCUCCGGGAAACUGGGGCUAAUACCGGAUGGGACCUCCUGCUGCUUGGUGGGGGUUGGAAAUUUUCGGCGGUUGGGGUUGGACUCGCGGCUUAUCUGUUUGUUGGUGGGGUAGUGGCUUACCAGGGUGUUGACGGGUGGCCGGCCUGGGAGGGUGACCGGCCACAUUGGGACUGGGAUACGGCCCAGACUCCUACGGGAGGCAGCAGUGGGGAUAAUUGCACAAUGGGCGGAGGCCUGAUGCAGCAACGCGGCGGGCGGGAUGACGGCCUUCGGUUUGUAAACCGCUUUCGCCUGUGACGAAGCGUGAGUGACGGUAAUGGGUAAAGAAGCACCGGCUAACUACGUG